UGGGGAAUAUUGCACAAUGGGCGCAAGCCUGAUGCAGCCAUGCCGCGUGUGUGAAGAAGGCCUUCGGGUUGUAAAGCACUUUCAGCGGGGAGGAAGGCGGUGAGGUUAAUAACCUCACCGAUUGACGUUACCCGCAGAAGAAGCACCGGCUAACUCCGUGCCAGCAGCCGCGGUAAUACGGAGGGUGCAAGCGUUAAUCGGAAUUACUGGGCGUAAAGCGCACGCUGGCGGUCUGUCAAGUCGGAUGUGAAAUCCCCGGGCUCAACCUGGGAACUGCAUUCGGAACUGGCAGGCUAGAGUCUUGUAGAGGGGGGUAGGAUUCCAGGUGUAGCGGUGAAAUGCGUAGAGAUCUGGAGGAAUACCGGUGGCGAAGGCGGCCCCCUGGACAAAGACUGACGCUCAGGUGCGAAAGCGUGGGGAGCAAACAGG
rnacentral:rRNA from 1 species